UCUCUGGAGGCAAUUUUAUUUUCUGUACAAUGCCAAACUGUUGAUGAAAAAUGCCAACUCCCACACACUUCUCAGGACCGGGUUUGGAAGAAUCACUAAAAACUAAAUGGCAAUGUUUCCAUCGGCUGUCACUGUCAAUAAUAUCCAUAAAUUUGGCAUUGGCAGAAGGAUCUUGUUUACAAACACCAAAGUCAAACAAAAUAGAUGGAUUUAAAAUUAAUGCAUCAUAGUUAACACAAAAUAUAGGAAGAAAUUGUGAUCUAUGUGUUGGACCUUGAAGAGCUAAGUAUUUUUGGAGACUAACAAUAAGGCAUGGCGGCGAUUUAUGAGCCCAGUACGAAUAAUCCAUACAUUCCAACAGAGACCGUAACUUAUAGUAAAGAGGAUGAGCAUAAACUUGAAAUGCUCUAAACAGGAACCUGUCACAAAGAAAUUGACGUCUGAGGUGCAGGGGGGCUUCAGAACAUUCCACCUGCAAAGCGUUAAUAGGGCUCGACCGCAUAGCUCCCGCAAUUAUUCUCAGAGCCUUAGACUGGAUAAUGUCUAACUUAUGGAGAGCUACUGCAUUACAGGGUUCAAGUAUAAAUGUUCCAUAGUCUAAAAUGCUUCUUAUUAGAGCAUUAUAUAGAAGCUUUAGAGAGAAAGGAUGGGCUCCCCACCAAACUCCAGAGAGACAACGCAGUAUGUUUAUAAUCUUCUCACAUUUGGCACUUAUAUAGUAGCAAUGAGGGCUUCCUGUAAGUCUUGAGUCUAAAAUUACCCCAAGAAAUGUUGCUUCACUUUUAGUGGGAAUUCUAAUGUUAUUAUAAAAUACAGAUACUGCUGGAGGAAGUCUCAUACGUGAGAAUAAGACUAUAAUACUUUUAGGAACCGAAAGGCUUAAAGUGUUAUUGUCAAGCCAGACUUUUAAUAACUUAAGGGAAUGUGUCAUAGUAUCAGACAUGUUGUCUACAGAAUCACCAGACACAUAGAGGAGUAAAUCAUCUGCAUAUUGGAGUGUGUUAACUUUACCCUUAAGGGAGGCUUCCAGAUCAUGAGAAUAUAUAUUGUAAAGUAAAGGACUUAAAACUGAGCCCUGAGGUAAACCUUUCCAGGCAAUACGGGAUUGAAUUGAAAGGUUGACAUUAUCAUAGGCUGCCGACACAUCUAAGAAUGCCGCUAACACAGACUUAUUGUAAGAAAAUGCCAAUCUUAAGUUUGUCAUAAAAAUACUGAGACUAUCCAUUGUACUCCUGCCUUUCCUAAAUCCAAACUGGUUUGGUGAUAGUAACCCCUUACUCUCAAUAAACCAUUCUAGUCUAGUUUUAAUUAAAUGUUCAGAAAUUUUGGACAUAACUGGAGCUAAUGCAAUUGGUCUGUAUGAUGAUGGAUCAUUAAUCGGUUUGUUGGGCUUGUGUAUUGGGAUAACUUCAUGGAUUUUCCAUGAUGGAGGAAUAUUACCUGAUGUUAAGAUUGAAUUAAUUAAACUGAGAAAAUAAGAAAGGCAGGAAUCAUUCAGGUUUUGAAAAAAGGAAUAUGGAAUUCCAUCACAACCAGGGGCUGAGUCCCUUAGUUUUGAAAGAACCCCUUUGAGUUCUGAAAGGCUAAAGGAAAUGAAUGAAUUGCUACUAUCAUGCUGGGGGAGGAGAGAAAGCUGUGAGUUAGAAGACAUAUUAUCUAUAGAUGGGACAAAUGGUGGAGCUAAUCUGUAAAGAAACAAAUCAACUGUACUGCUAUCCAUAAGAGGAGACCUUGGAGGUUUAAAAGAGGAUCUGAAUCUACGAAUAUUUUGCCAAACUUCAGAUGGAGAAAUGUCUGGUGAAAUUGAGGCACAAAAAGAUUUCCAGCCAUUGAAUCUUUUUUGUUUUAAUAAUUUACGUGUUUUAGUUAUAAUAUUACAAAGAACAUUAAAAUUUUGUGAUGUAGAA